rnacentral:rRNA from 1 species
AUUGAACGCUGGCGGCAGGCCUAACACAUGCAAGUCGAACGAGUGGCGGACGGGUGAGUAAUGUCUGGGAAACUGCCCGAUGGAGAGGGAUAACUACUGGAAACGGUAGCUAAUACCGCAUCCCAUCGGAUGUGCCCAGAUGGCAUUAGCUAGUAGGUGGGGUAACGGCUCACCUAGGCGACGAUCCCUAGCUGGUCUGAGAGGAUGACCAGCCGCACUGGAACUGAAACAGGGUCAAGACUCCUACGAGAGGCAGCAAUGGGGAAUAUUGCACAAUGGGCGCAAGCCUGAUACAGCCAUGCCGCGUGUAUGAAAAAGGCCUUCGGGUUGUAAAGUACUUUCAGCGAGGAGGCGUUACUCGCAGAAGAAGCACCGGCUAACUCCGUGCCAGCAGCCGCGGUAAUAC